rnacentral:rRNA from 1 species
GAUGAACGCUGGCGGCGUGCCUAAUACAUGCAAGUCGAGCGAACGGACGAGAAGCUUGCUUCUCUGAUGUUAGCGGCGGAAGGGUGAGUAACACGUGGAUAACCUACCUAUAAGACUGGGAUAACUUCGGGAAACCGGAGCUAAUACCGGAUAAUAUUUUGAACCGCAUGGUUCAAAAGUGAAAGACGGUCUUGCUGUCACUUAUAGAUGGAUCCGCGCUGCAUUAGCUAGUUGGUAAGGUAACGGCUUACCAAGGCAACGAUGCAUAGCCGACCUGAGAGGGUGAUCGGCCACCCUGGAACUGGGACACGGUCCAGACUCCUACGGGAGGCAGCAGUAGGGAAUCUUCCGCAAUGGGCGAAAGCCUGACGGAGCAACGCCGCGUGAGUGAUGAAGGUCUUCGGAUCGUAAAACUCUGUUAUUAGGGAAGAACAUAUGUGUAAGUAACUGUGCACAUCUUGACGGUACCUAAUCAGAAAGCCACGGCUAACUACGUG